ACUCCUACGGGAGGCAGCAGUGGGGAAUAUUGGACAAUGGGCGCAAGCCUGAUCCAGCCAUGCCGCGUGAGUGAUGAAGGCCCUAGGGUUGUAAAGCUCUUUCGCACGCGACGAUAAUGACGGUAGCGUGACAAGAAGCCCCGGCUAACUUCGUGCCAGCAGCCGCGGUAAUACGAAGGGGCAAGCGUUGUUCGGAAUCACUGGGCGUAAAGCGCACGUAGGCGGAUCGUUAAGUCAGGGGUGAAAUCCCGAGGCUCAACCUCGGAACUGCCUUUGAUACUGGCGAUCUUUGAGUCCGGGAGAGGUGAGUGGAAUUCCGAGUGUAGAGGUGAAAUUCGUAGAUAUUCGGAAGAACACCAGUGGCGAAGGCGGCUCACUGGCCCGGUACUGACGCUGAGGUGCGAAAGCGUGGGGAGCAACAGGAUUAGAUACCCUGGUAGGCUCUGC
rnacentral:rRNA from 1 species